GGGCGAGACCGAUGACUUUGAGUCCCUUCGACAAUAACUCUUCUAAGAUGGCCUUACCGAUUCCGUCAGUGGCGUCGGUGAUGAGAGCAGUCUUGUUCAACAAAGGAUUCAUGUUGAAGAUUUGCGUUGAAUAAUUUUCAGAGAGUGGAGAAGUGAAGUCUCUUCACCCCAAACGAUCAACGAUCCAUUCCAUCGGCGAAUCUUUGCAUAUGAAGUAGCCGGUGUAGUCUGUCAUUAGCCGACGAGAAGAUUUAAAUGAUAUACCAGAACGUGAGGAGGAUUGGAUAGCACGUAAAUCACCGCUGCCGCAACAUCAUCCGGAUCCAAAGUCGGCAUCACCGCUAGUGCUUCUGGUGAGAACAUGCUGUAAGAAGCCAUGAAAUCGGUCGCGACUAAACC